AAAAAUCAAUUAAAGACAUAAUCAAACAGACAAUGAACACUAUUAACAGCAAAUAUUAUAUGACGCAAUUGUGGCCAAACUUAUACCAAAAUGU